UCUGUCACCCAGGCUGGAGUGCAGUGGUGUGACCACAGCCACUGCAGGCUCAACCUCUGGGACUCAGGUGAUCCUCCCAUCUCAGCCUCCCAAGUAGCUGGGACUACAGGUUGCUUCUUCCAGAUCCCUUUUGAUCUAUUUUCAGCUAUGGAUUCAUGAGAAUCAAGACUAAGCAGCCUGAAUUGAAGGAGUAACAGUAUCACCUAACAAUGAUUUUGCUGCCAUAGUAGCUGUUUGUAUACUGGCCAUAUGCCUAGGUAAAAUGAGGCCAGAUCACUCUCAGAGUUUUCUAUCAGAGUUGGUGGCGAACUACUGCUCACUGAUAAUGCUGUACUGGUCUGGAGCUGCACAUUCUUUUCAGACAACUCUUGUUCCAGCUAGAGUGCAGUGGUGCAACCUCAGCUCACUGCAACCUCCGCUUCCCAGGUUCAAGCGAUUCUCCUGCUUCAGCCUCCCUGGUUGCUGGGAUUACAGGUGACUCUUCUCCUGUAACAGAGCCUCCUUCUUAGAAACUAUGGCCUCCCGUUUCUUUAAGUCUGCUUCC
rnacentral:antisense_RNA from 1 species